rnacentral:rRNA from 1 species
ACCGGUGGUUAUGGCGGAGCGGCUGCACCCGAUCCCAUUCCGAACUCGGCCGUGAAACGCUCCAGCGCCAAUGGUACUUUGUCUUAAGACACGGGAGAGUAGGUCGCUGCCGGUC